rnacentral:rRNA from 1 species
GACGAACGCUGACGGCGUGCUUAACACAUGCAAGUCGAAGGGAGUGGCGAACGGGUGAGUAACACGUGAGUAACCUGCCCUUUUCUUUGGGAUAAGCCUGGGAAAUUGGGUCUAAUACUGGAUGGAUUGGGUUGGGCUCGCGGCUUAUCAGGUUGUUGGUGGGGUGAUGGCUUACCGAGGCUUUGACGGGUAGCCGGGCUGAGAGGGUGGUCGGGAACGGAGGGACGGGGAUGCCGCCUAGAGUAGGACGGGGGGGGGAAGUGGGGGCAAUUGGCCAAAGGACGAAAGACUGAUGCAGCGAGGUCGAGGAGGGUAUGAGGGCCUUCGAGUUGUAAACUCCGUUAGGCAGGGGAGCGGUAGUGGGAGAAGAAGCGCCGGCUAACUACGUGCCAGCAGCCGCGGUAAUUC